CAAAGCAAACAAAUUUAAAGAAUCAUUUGUUUCUGCAUAGUGGGGAUAAACCGCAUGGCUGCGAGUUAUGUAAAAAAAGAUUUGCAUUGGCAUGCAACUUGAGGGCACAUAUGAAGACACACGAUGGUAAUCCACAAGACGGAUGCAUUAGAUGUGGAAAAGUGUUUGUUGUCACGGGCAGCGAUCCGCAGCAAAGCAAAAAGUGUACGAAAUGUCUGGAUUUAAGUGAUUCGACUGAUGACGGAGAGAAAUCUGGUUUUCAAUCAGACCAAAGUAUUUCGACCGAAGAAGAAGAAUAUGAGUCUUCAAAUGGUGCAACAGAAUAUAGUGACAAAUGAAUGAAUGAAGAAUUAUGUUAUGUGUAUGUGUACUUACGAUUACGAGGCCAUUCUUUAAGGAUCACUUUAUAGACCGACCGAUGACUGAUGCUAAUAUAAUAAAUUAUUCAGAAUUAGUAUCAGUAGUUUUAGAAUAUGACCAAAAAUUUUAAAUUUUUAUAUCAAUUUAUCGAUUUGUGUGAUUUUAUAUAACAAACAACGCUUACAAACACAAUAAACGAAAACGGAUUUAAUUUAUUAACAUAC